AGACCGACAGUCAGACCCACUCCACAGAAGACUGCAGGUCCAAUACUGGGCUGCUGCACCUCCACAUCUGGAGAGAGAGACAGAGGUUAACUCCACAUCUGGAGACACAAAGGUUAACUCCACAUCUGGAGACAGAGACACAGAGGUUAACUCCACAUCUGGAGAGAGAGACAGAGAGGCUAACUCCACAUCUGGAGACAGAGACACAGAGGUUAACUCCACAUCUGGAGAGAGACACAGAGGUUAACUCCACAUCUGGAGAGAGACACAGAGGUUAACUCCACAUCUGGAGACAGAGACACAGAGGUUAACUCCACAUCUGGAG